rnacentral:rRNA from 1 species
ACGGCUCAGUAACACGUGGACAACCUGCCCAAAAGUCUGGGAUAACCCCGGGAAACUGGGGAUAAUACCGGAUAGGUCAUGGAUACUGGAAGGUUCUGUGAUUGAAACUUGAGGGGCUUUUGGAUGGGUCUGCGGCUGAUUAGGUUGAUGCCGGUGUAACGUACCGGCAUGCCAGUGAUCAGUACGGGUUGUGGGAGCAAGAGCCCGGAGAUGGAUUCUGAGACACGAAUCCAGGCCCUACGGGGCGCAGCAGGCGCGAAAACUUUACAAUGCAGGCAACUGCGAUAAGGGAACAUCGAGUGGCGUUCACAUUGGAUGUCUGUCCACCCGUCUAAAAAACGGGUGUUAGCAAGGGCCGGGCAAGACCGGUGCCAGCCGCCGCGGUAAUACCGGCGGCUCGAGUGGUGGCCGAUAUUAUUGAGUCUAAAGGGUCCGUAKCCGGCUUUGCAAGUCCUGCGGGAAAUCCAGCGGCUUAACCGUUGGGCGUCCGUGGGGUACUACAUUGCUUGGGACUGGGAGAGGUAAGAGGUACUCAGGGGGUAGGAGUGAAAUCCUGUAAUCCUUUGGGGACCACCGGUGGCGAAGGCGUCUUACCAGAACAGGUCCGACGGUGAGGGACGAAAGCUAGGGGCACGAACCGGAUUAGAUACCCGGGUAGUCCUAGCCGUAAACGAUGCUCGCUAGGUGUCACAGCAGUCGUGAAUCGCUGUGGUGCCGUAGGGAAGCCGUGAAGCGAGCCACUUGGGAAGUACGACCGCAAGGUUGAAGCUUAAAGGAAUUGGCGGGGGAGCAC